rnacentral:rRNA from 1 species
CAUUCUACUGGMGUUCCGYKYYSYAAUCUCAAGARACGKCUAUCCGCUUCGGACCGGGUCCAAGUCUCUUGGAAAAGAGSAUCAUGGAGGGUGAAAAUCCCGUGUAUGACCUGGAGCCACCGAAGUACUGCGAUGCGUUUUUUCUCAGAGUCGAGUUGUUUGGGAAUGCAGCUCAAAAUGGGUGGUAAAUGCCAUCUAAGGCUAAAUACAGGGGAGAGACCGAUAGCGAACAAGUACCGUGAGGGAAAGAUGCAAAGAACUUUGGAAAGAGAGUUAAACAGUACGUGAAAUUGCCAGAAGGGAAGGGUAGGAAGUCAGAGAUGCGGGGGCGCAGCCCAGCCGGAUAUUUGUAGUGGAUAGCCGGUGCAAGCUGCGUGUACUGCAGGCCAACGUCGGUUCUGUGGCGCGGGAAAGCGGGGUCGGGAAUGUGGCAUUUCUUCGGAAGUGUGAUUAGAGACCGGCCUUUUGAGUCUGGACCAGCGACGGGAACCGUAGUUAGCAGCAUGGUGCUCCGGCCUUUGUGGGGGAGGGUUACACCUUCGUCCGGCGGCCGGGGUGUUAGGUCUUCGGGCACUAAUCAUGCUGAGGGCGUUGGCUUAAUGGCCGUCUACCACCCGUCUUGAAACACGGACCAAGGAGUCUAACAUGCCGGCAAGUCUUUGGGCAGCAAACCCGGAAGGCGCAACGAAAGUGAUAACAGGUGGGAUCCCGCAAGGGUGCACCAUCGGCCGCUCCACCGGCUGUUCCUCGGAACAGCCCGCGGAUGUGCGCAAGAGCCGGCCUGUUGGGACCCGAAAGAUGGUGAACUAUGCCUGGAUAGGGCGAAGCCAGAGGAAACUCUGGUGGAGGCUCGUAGCGGUUCUGACGUGCAAAUCGAUCGUUGAAUCUGGGUAUAGGGGCGAAAGACUAAUCGAACCAUCUAGUAGCUGGUUCCUGCCGAAGUUUCCCUCAGGAUAGCAGAAACUCGAAACUCAGUUUUAUGAGGUAAAGCGAAUGAUUAGAGGCCUWGGGGAAGCAAUUUCCUCAACCUWUUC